AUGAAAAGAUUUCUGCAAUAUGCUACACUUCAAAGAUCCUUCUCCAUUCUGAUUCUCCGCUCCAUGAACCGUUUUUAUGAAGCGGCACAAAACCAAUAAAAAGGUAAAUUCCAUUGUUUAAUCUGUGCAAAGCUUGAAUUGACUCAUUUCUUCAAGCACUGCUUCACCU
rnacentral:lncRNA from 1 species